rnacentral:rRNA from 1 species
UGGAUUAGGCAUGCAAGUCGAACGAUCUCGCAAGAGAUAGUGGCAAACGGGUGAGUAACACGUAAGCAAUCUUCCUUAAAGUUGAGCAUAGCUUCGUGAAAACGGAGGUAAUACUCGAUGUAACCCAAUGAUCGCAUGGUCAAUGGGAUAAAGGUGGGGACCGCAAGGCCCGCCGCUUUAAGAUGAGCUUGCGUCCUAUCAGCUAGUUGGUGAGGUAAUGGCUCACCAAGGCUUAUGACGGGUAGCUGGUCUGAGAGGAUGGUCAGCCACACUGGGACUGAGACACUGCCCAGACUCCUACGGGAGGCUGCAGUCGAGAAUCUUCCUCAAUGGGCGAAAGCCUGAAGGAGCGACGCCGCGUGCAGGAUGAAGGUUUUCGGAUCGUAAACUGC